rnacentral:lncRNA from 1 species
UUGUGUGAGUAUGGGAGAGUUGAGGGGUUUUCCCCUGUGGCUGUGUCUACUUUUCCGAAGUUGGCUUGGGACACUUUAGGCGACUCCCACAUCGAGGCUCUGGUGGUCGAUUAUGAGCCCUGGCUGGCCCAGCUGCUGGGGAUCUGGAAAAGGUGUGGCAGCGUUCUGAGGAGCCGGGCGUCCUCCUCUGCCAGAUCGAGAGCUGCUUCCUCUGCCCUGGGUGAGAGGUCUGGCUGUGUCUCUGGCUCCGGCUCCUGCUGUGGGAGCGGGGUGGGGCUCUCCCUCUCCCCCGGUGACACGGAGCCGGGGGGCGGCUGUGUCUCGGGUCCUGAGGUCGGCUCCCCCGGGAUCGCCGGGGCCCCCGGUGGGUUGAACAGGGGCCCCGCGGGACCGGUGGGCGUGACCCCGCCUCGGCCAGCGCCCCAGAGGCGUAAGCCUGAGGUGGGGUUGGAUCCUUGCCAGAGAGCCGUCGGGGGUGCCGCAGAACCAGGGGACAUAACGCUGCCUCGGCCAACUCCCCGGCAGAGUUGUCCCUCGGCAGCAGAGCAGCAUGGUGCCGUGGCUUCGCAGGCUGUGCCUCUACCGGCACCUCGGUCCCUGCCAGCGCUGGAGGUGGGCCAUGCCAAUCUGGCUCCAACCCACCCCGCCUCGGGUUCCCGGGCAUCGCCCGUGCCUACGGCUGGAGGUGGCCCUCCCCCAUCGCCUCCUGUGGUCGCGGCAGACCAAGGUCCUGCACUGUUUACCAUUGGCUCCGGUGGUGCUGCCGCGGGGGCAAAGCCAGUGGCCUCCACGGGCAAAGGGUCCCAGGCUGCUGGAGCCUCUUCGGAUGGCCUGUAGACUCUGUCCUAUUGUCAAAUGACUGUGCAGCUGAGCAUAUCAGGCAUUCCAUGUGCUUCCGAAUGCUUUGGUUCGGUGGGUAAGGGCAUGAGUGCUCUUCUUGUGGCGUGGUUGAAUACCACUGCUCAGGGCAUCAUUGCUCACCUAGGGGACGUUGAUUUGAAAUUCCUGGGGUGCAUUUCUGCCAUGAGUUCCACACUCAUCCCUCCUGUUCCUAUCCCUGUGGGACCCGGGUUUGCUCACCUUGUGCCUUUUGAGUUUUAUGUUCGCAGAGCUGAGAACCAGCUGCGAGGAGAUGGUGGCUUCGGGUUUCCUGGACCUCCCUGGGUCACUGGACUGCUGUUCUGACAGCCAGGGAUCAUCCUGAACGGGUCUGCACCCUUGCCAUCCUUGGUGAGAUGCUGUCAGAGAUUAGCCUCUGUGGGUUUUUGACAGUGUCACGGACAUCACGAUUGUCAGGUUUGCUGAUGGGCCCCCAGAGUGACUCUUGGCCCAAUGCUGGCACAUUCAACACAAAGAAGAAAUUGAGACUGACUCUUUGUUCAACAUUUUCUGUUGUCUUCCCUCAUAAUAGAUUAGUCACCUUCUGCAACUUGAUGCAGGAACAGUUGGAUCACGGUGAUCUGGAGCUUCGACCAAUCCCUGGGACAUUCCUGUUUUCUGUAUCAAGAAGAAGUCUGGGAAAUGGAGGUUAUUGCAAGACCUCCAGAAAGUUAAUGCUAUGAUGGAAAGCAUGGGGAUGUUGCAGGCUAGCAUGCCUUCAACUGCCAUGCUUCCUGCUGAUUGGCUAGUCCUCAUUGUGGCUCUGAAGGAUUGUUUAUUUACGAUUCCUUUGCAUCCCAGUGACAGACCGAAAUUUGCCUUUCUGGUGCCAGCUAUCAUUAAUGCUGAGCCCACACAGAGAUAUCAAUGGAGAUUUUUGCCAUGAGGCUUCUGAAAAUUUGCCAGCAUUUGCCAGUGAUAUGGGGCUCUAGUCAUCUCUGGAGUUUGUGAGCAGUUUCCUGAUGCUCAUCUCUACAACCUCCCUGAAAUUAUUUGAGGGUCAAAAUAAUUUUGGGGCGAACAGUCCUGCAUCUGGAGGUACAAUUAUUUUUUUGCUUUCAGUGCAGACACUGCAUGAAUGAUGUCCAGAUAUGAAUAGAUUUUACAUGGUUGUGUCCUUAUAUGGGACUGACCACGACACAACUGUCUCCCUUGUUUGGUCUGUUAAAGGGGGACUCUGAUUUCAAGUCACCUCUGACACUGACCCCACAGGCACAGUAGAUGCUGGAGGAGGUUCUGUGAGCAGUUUCUGCUCAUCAAGUUUAUUACAUUAAUCCUUCCAUUGAUGUAGCUGUUUUGUUUUCAUUGCCACUCAAGAUUUGUAUUCCACAGGUAUCAUUGUCCAAUGAAGACACUUGAAAUGUCAUUGCUACCUGGAAGGAUGGAUCUGAGUGGCAGGUUUUAGAGAGUCAUGAGGCUGGAUCAGCCCAAUUGAUAGAAUUACGGGCUGCUGUAAUAGCAUUUCAUAAGUUUUCCCAGGCACCUUUCAAUUUGGCCAUGGAUUCUGUCUCCGUGACCAAACUGAGAGCCAUCCACAAGCAGGUGUUGAUGUUGCACAUUUGUUUCAUUUGGUUUUUUUGGGUUUUUGUUGGUUUUAGUUUUUGUGGUUUUUGGGGUUUUUUUUUGUAAUAACAAAAGAUUGAGAUAUCACCCUGAAAUUACAACCUUCUGAUUGUAUGGAGUAUUGUAUUUUCCUGUUAUUUAUCCUUUUGAUUGUUUAUAAUGUUGCUAGGUUCUUUGUUCAUUUUUCUUUUUUCUUUUUUUUUUGUUAAACCAAAAAGGGUGAGAUGUCGCCCUGAAAACUCAGCUUCUGAGCUUGCUGACAUGGUUUUCUAAAGACUUUCCCAGGACAGUAACUGUAAACAUAGAUAUGUGUACAUUCUUUCUGUUACAUGUCUUGUGACGGGCAUCUCUCAUGGCCAGUGCAGCGAGAAAGUGUUAUCCUGACCAUCCAAUCCCUGGCCGUGGUCAGAAGCCUAUAAAUCCUGUGAGGAAAAAUAAACUCUCUCUUCUUUUCA